GACGAACGCUGGCGGCGUGCUUAACACAUGCAAGUCGAACGGAAAGGCCCUGCUCUUGUGGGGUGCUCGAGUGGCGAACGGGUGAGUAACACUUGCGUAACCUCCCCUUGAUUUUGGGAUAACUUCACGAAACUGGGGCUAAUACCGGACAUAACCUCCUGCUGCAUGGUGGGGGGUGGUAAGUUUCGGUGGUUGGGGAUGGACGCGCGGCUUAUCAGCCUGUUGGUGGGGUAGUGGCUUACCAAGGCUUUGACGGGUAGCCGGCCUGAGAGGGUGACCGGCCACAAUGGGACUGAGAUACGGCCCAGACUCCUACGGGAGGCAGCAGUGGGGAAUAUUGCACAAUGGGCGGAAGCCUGAUGCAGCAACGCCGCGUGCGUGAUGACGGCCUUCGGGUUGUAAACCGCUUUCGCCUGUGACGAAGCGUGAGUGACGGUAAUGGGUAAAGAAGCACCGGCUAACUACGUG
rnacentral:rRNA from 1 species